AGCUCCCCACGGCCCUCGCCUCCUCCCCGGCGCCCCACCUUCCCCCUCCCCCUCGCCCUCUCUGCCCCCCUCCCUCCGUCCCCGGAGCCGGCGGCCCGAGAUGCAAGUUCAUCCAGGGGCUGGCAGUCCGCGGGUCCAGCCUUGACGGUACCACGCUGGGCAGUGGGAGCGAGCGAAAUUCAACUCUCUACAAGUUCUGAAGCUCCCCUCACCAUCAUUUCUUUGAAGGCUUAAAUACCUCCGGGGACAAGGAACCCUCUGCUCUGUGUGCUCUCCAUUUGCCGUUUGAUGGUCAACAUUACUGAAAAGUAUUUCCUUCCAACUAUUCAUUGGUUUUAACUUCUGGACUUUACACAACAAAUCCGAUCUAACUUCCACAUGUUUUUGGUGAUAGUUUGGGGAGUUCAACAGCCUGGUAGUCCCACCAAGAGCCCAUUGAUACCUCUCUUGCUGCAUGAAGCCCAAGACCCUCAAUUCAGGAAUAAGGGAGCCACUGGGGCCUACAGUGAUGGGCUGAACUUAUUCUGCAUGAUCAAUGAUUGUGAGAUCCUUCAGGUCGCCAUCAAAUGGAAUCUCAGGAACAAGAACAAGGCAUGUCAUGCAGAUUUAUCAUUGA